CCCCCAACUCCCCGCCUUUUCCUCCUCCGGCAGGACUGGUUAACCCCCUCGUAGCCCUCGCCUGCCUGUGCUGAAAACUAACCGGAUGACGUAGCAACGAGUUUCCUGCAAGGGUGCCCACUUCACCAGCUCCGGAUCCCCACCUGUUCUCCCCUAGGGAACUCUGGUGCUGCUGGUCUGCUGUUGGCCUGUUUCUACCAAAACAACAACAACAACAACAACAACCAGCUAUGUUCUGAACUACAGUCUCUGACCCUACACAUUCAGACUUGGAUGCCACCUCCAUCCCUGAUUGAAGAGCUGGGUGAUGGCUCUCCCAUUGAAGUGCACCUGUUACCAUGUGUGAGGACCCAGGUUCAAGUCCUAGCCCCCAUCUGCAGGAGGGAAGCUUCAUAAGUAGAGGAGUGCUGCAGGUGUAUCCCCUUAUCUCUCCCUCUCCCUUGCUUUCUGUCUCUCACCCUCUGUCAUAAAAAAAUAAAAUGGCCAACAACAAAAAAAAAUAGAUAAAGAAAUCUUUAAAAAUAAAAAUAAGGUGUCGGGUGGUAGUGCAGCGGGUUAAGUGCACCUGGCGCAAGUGCAAGGACCGGAGUAAGUAUCCUGGUUCAAGCCCCCCAACCCCCACCUGCAGGGGAGUCCCUUCACAGGCCAGGCGGUAAAGCAGGUCUCCAGGUGUCUCUCUUUCUCUCCCCUUCUCUGUCUUCCCCUCCUCUCUCCAUUUCUCUCUGUCCUAUCCAACAACGACGACAUCAAUUACAACGAUAACUACAACAACAAUGAAAAACAAGGGCAACAAAAGGGAAAAUAAGUAAAGAUAAAUAAAUAUUAAAAAUCCCUGGAAUAUUUGUUAAGGAGGCAGAUUUUCAGUUUACCACAGACCAGCUGAACAGAAUCUGGGGGUGGAACCCUGAAACCCGCAUAUUUAAGUGUACCCUAAUACGGUUGACCCCAGCUUGAGAGCCCAGCUCUUCUGGCAUCAUCUUCCUGUAGCCUCU